rnacentral:rRNA from 1 species
CAGCAGCCGCGGGAAUACGAAGGGGGCUAGCGUUGUUCGGAAUUACUGGGCGUAAAGCGCACGCAGGCGGCUCGAUAAAUUAGAAGUGAAAGCCUUGGGCUUAACCUGAGAAUUGCUUUUAAGACUGCCGAGCUAGAAUCCAGAAGAGGGUAGUGGAAUUCCGAGUGUAGAGGUGAAAUUCGUAGAUAUUCGGAAGAACACCAGUGGCGAAGGCGACUACCUGGUCUGGCAUUGACGCUCAUGUGCGAAAGCGUGGGGAGCAAACAGGAUUAGAUACCCGGGUAGUCCCUGUCUCUUAUAC